CCCUUAGAUGUUCUGGGCCGCACGCGCGCUACACUGACCAGUGCAACAAGCAUCCGUCCUUGGCCGACAGGCCCGGGCAAUCUUUGAACGCUGAUCGUGAUGGGGAUAGACUUUUGCAAUUUUUGGUCUUCAACGAGGAAUUCCUAGUAAACGCAAGUCAUCAACUUGCAUUGAUUACGUCCCUGCCCUUUGUACACACCGCCCGUCGCACCUACCGAUUGAAUGGUCCGGUGAAGCCUCCGGAUUGGCGUGCACCCUCGGGUGCUGCCGAGAAGUUGGCUAAACCUUACCAUUUAGAGGAAGGUGAAGUCGUAACA
rnacentral:rRNA from 1 species